UGGGGAAUAUUGGACAAUGGGGGAACCGUAGCAUCCAGCCAUGCCGCGUGUGUGAAGAAGGCCUUAUGGUUGUAAAGCACUUUAAGCGAGGAGGAGGCUCUUCUAGUUAAUACCUAGGAUGAGUGGACGUUACUCGCAGAAUAAGCACCGGCUAACUCUGUGCCAGCAGCCGCGGUAAUACAGAGGGUGCGAGCGUUAAUCGGAUUUACUGGGCGUAAAGCGUGCGUAGGCGGCUUUUUAAGUCGGAUGUGAAAUCCCCGAGCUUAACUUGGGAAUUGCAUUCGAUACUGGGAAGCUAGAGUAUGGGAGAGGAUGGUAGAAUUCCAGGUGUAGCGGUGAAAUGCGUAGAGAUCUUGGAGGAAUACCGAUGGCGAAGGCAGCCAUCUGGCCUAAUACUGACGCUGAGGUACGAAAGCAUGGGGAGCAAACA
rnacentral:rRNA from 1 species